UACGUAGGGUGCAAGCGUUAAUCGGAAUUACUGGGCGUAAAGCGCGUGUAGGCGGCUUGUUAAGUUGGUUGUGAAAACCCAUGGCUCAACCAUGGAAGGGCGUCCAAAACUGGCAAGCUAGAGUCCUGACGAGGAUGGCGGAAUUCCCAGUGUAGAGGUGAAAUUCGUAGAUAUUGGGAGGAACACCGGUGGCGAAGGCGGCCAUCUGGGAAGGCACUGACGCUGAGACGCGGAAAGCGUGGGGAGCAAACAG
rnacentral:rRNA from 1 species